GGGGACGACCUGGCUUCGACGGGGUCGGUUCAUCGGUGUGGUUGCGAGCCGAGGUUGCUGGAUGGCCUCGUAAAACUCCAGCAAAAACCAUAAGUGCGGACUCUCACGAGUACGCCCUUCCGUCUGCUGCACUCGCAGUCUAGAUAGGAAAGGUUCUGCCCCUCGGCCAGCCGGCCGUCGGGGACGCGGAAUCAUCUUUCGCCGGCUUACCGACCGCCCCGCCUCCGUGCGGUCGGGACACACUUAGGGGGCUGGCUCCCCUCGACCCGGUCAGCGAGGUGACGGGGGAGUGAGACUCUGACCGCUGACUACGCUCGUAGACGCCCCAUUGGUGCGAUCUCGGACGGGGGUUCGAUUCCCCCCGUCUCCACUG
rnacentral:tmRNA from 1 species